GCUAGGUUAUUGGCUGGUGUUAUGAAACCAUUUCACCGAAUAGGGAGAUGUUAAUUUUUUUACUUGUAUAUUAUGUUCUCCAAUGUUAGUUAUUACUUAUAAAUCAACAAGAAAUAUAUCCAAAGCAAAUUAUAAUUAUAAUAUAUGAUGUGUCAAAAUAAUAUGACGUGCCACUAAUGUCAGAGAAAGCUCACAGACCACAGAUUAUACAAAAUAAUCUAAACGUAUUUAAACAAAAGUAGAAGAAUUUUCCCCCUCUUUUCAUGCUUACAUCUUUUGGCAAAAAGAGGUGUCCGAUUUUACAUCAAAUUACUUUCUAUAAUUAAUUACUCCUGUUAUUAAUAUACCACCAGAAAACAUAUAGAGGCAAGAAAAUGCAUCCAGAAGAAGUAAGCAGCGUUUGGUUAAACAGGAGAUACUAUGAGGAUGCCGAAAUCGCUCAUUAUGAAAACUUAACAAAAGUAAGUCGUAAAAACUAUUUUUGGUCAAAUAGUGACAUUUUCUUGUUCAUCAAAUGUUGGUGCAAUCUGAAAAAAUUAACAAUAUGUUCAACAUGCCUUUUAAUACACUAAUUGGUUAGUUAUUUUGUACUAAUGUCUUUAGAUAUACUCUUAUAGAACUAUAGAAGUUACAAAGAUAAACAGAUGGUAGAAUAUUCAAGUUGCAGUACCUACAUAUUGAAGACUAUUUCACCUAAUCUACAAAUAAAUUAAACACUUAUUAUAGAUAAUUUUGAAAAGUACAAAGUUAAAAAUU
rnacentral:lncRNA from 1 species